rnacentral:lncRNA from 1 species
AGAAGAUACCCUCUACUAGUCACUUGACGGGCAGGAGGUGCAACGCGGAAGGAAACAUCACGGAUUGGGGGUACUGGAAACUUUUAAAAGGUCUGGAAAAUCCCUCCGAUUUAGUGGAUGCUUUUCCGCGGCAGUUUAAAAACUGAAAGGCAACAUAGAAGCUUCUACUUUAAAAAGGUAGCCCUGGUGAUCCAAUCCCGAUCUUUUGGCUGGCAAAGAGGCAAUUGCCUGAAAACGAAAUUGGCAUUCAAAAAGGGUCAGGUACAGCCCAGAGUCCCUGUACUCAUUUUAGACUCAAGAAAAGGCGCUUCCCAUCCCUAGCUCUUUUAGAAAGAGAAAGGAAAAGGAGGAGAAAGCAGAAAGGGGGGAGAGCCGAGAGCGCAAGAAAGAAAGAGAAGAGGGGGAUAUUUAGCAAGUUAAAAGGUUAAAUGUUUGAACAGAUUUGUAAAUAUAUAGACAACCCUUGUUAUUUGGGAUGUGUAAUAAUGCCUUUUUGUGGCGCUGUCUGGCUGGGAGGCUGCCGAGGACCGCUCCCUGGCACCUUCUUCACUAGGAAAUGAACAGUAAGUUCAUGGACUCAAAAAACAAAAACAGGGCUACCCUCCUUUGGAGGAAAGGGAAUUCUCCCUCUAUUCGGUCAUUGAAAAAUAAAAAGAAAAGAAGAAAAAAGAAAGUAAAAGGAAAGCAGGAUCAAUGAGAUUUUAUUUUUC